rnacentral:rRNA from 1 species
AUGUACAUUCCUACAACAUAGCGUUAAUGCAUCAGAUCCCAUUAGAACUCCACAAUUAAGCAUGGUCGUGCUAGAGUAUUACUGGGAUGGGUGGCCACCUGGGAAUUCCUAGUGUUUUACAUG